rnacentral:rRNA from 1 species
UACGUAGGGUGCAAGCGUUGUCCGGAAUUAUUGGGCGUAAAGAGCUCGUAGGCGGUUUGUCGCGUCUGCUGUGAAAACGCGGGGCUCAACUCCGCGCCUGCAGUGGGUACGGGCAGACUAGAGUGCAGUAGGGGAGACUGGAAUUCCUGGUGUAGCGGUGGAAUGCGCAGGUAUCAGGAGGAACACCGGUGGCGAAGGCGGGUCUCUGGGGCUGUAACUGACGCUGAGGAGCGAAAGCGUGGGUAGCGAACAGG